rnacentral:lncRNA from 1 species
UACCUGCGUGCCUUGCCAGAAGUUCGAGAAGGUGAAGACCGUGGCACCAGAGCUGAAGCUUGUGUCACCUUGGUACAAGAUCGUGAGUUUUAACACUUUUGAGAUCAAUGUGAACAUUUAGCAGUUCUUAGUAGUUAAUCAAAAUGUUAUCUUCAGCAACUUCUUUUGCUCUGGCUUGUGUGACCCAUUCAUUUCCCUGUAUGCAAGGUGUGGACCUCAUCUGACCGUUCAAGGUCUCAUCAAGGUAUGGGAAUCGGCACUGUCUUACCGCAACUGAUUUUCUUCACUCAGUGGGUGGAGGCCAUUCCUAUCAAGGUGUGGUAUAUCAAUGUGUUUGGUUUCACAAAGAUAUGAACUGAUCAUCAUCAUCAUCAUGCUUUUCAAUGAUGCUCUCGACCUUUGUCCAGACGACAAAUUAUAGGAUCCUACACUUUCUUUUGUUAAAUACAAUGCUAGGACAAGAAGGCAGUGGCAACAUCCCAGGCCAUGAUGGACAUCUUCCACGCCCAUGGUGCACCUGAGGUCAUCCAGACAGACAGGGGCAGAGAGUUCUAGAACGAGGUCAACCAGAUCUUGUCCGAGAAGUACGGGACCAAGCACCGACUCACCUCAGCCUACCAUCCCCAGACCAACAGACUGGAUGAGCGGACCAACCAGACGCUGAAGAGGGCCAUUGGCAAGUCUCUGGAUGGGCACCAGGAACGGUGGGAGGAUAACCUUAAGGUAACUCUUUUUGCACACAACAGCAGUGUCCAGGCCUCCACUAAGUACUCUCCCUAUCACCUGAUGUAUUGCCGGGAGCCACGGUUGUCAUCUAACUUCAUUUGAUUAUGUUUGUAUAUUGCCUUUUCUCUAUUCACAAUGUCAUUUCAGAUCACAGGAGACCUUCCUCUUGUGGAGGUUGAUAGGGAUGAUGAGGGCACCGUUGCAGACUACCUCCUGGUCAGGGCUGAGACAGAUGAGGAGGUUUUUGACAAGGUA